rnacentral:rRNA from 1 species
UACAGAGGGUGCGAGCGUUAAUCGGAAUUACUGGGCGUAAAGCGCACGUAGGUGGCGACGUAAGUCGGGUGUGAAAGCCCCCGGGCUCAACCCGGGAACUGCGUCCGAUACUGGGAGGCUUGAGUCCGGGAGAGGGAUGCGGAAUUCCAGGUGUAGCGGUGAAAUGCGUAGAUAUCGGAAGGAACAUCAGUGGCGAAAAGCGGCUUCCUGGACCAGCACCGACGAGCAUCGAA